CCCGCUUUCUUACUUCUGCACAUUUUGUGGUGCUUGUGAGUGAUAACGAUACCUGGGGCGAACACCGUCGUCCGGCCACCGGCUCUGAGGUUUCCAAGGCCUCUGACAUAGUAACCUUUUUUUUUUUUUUGUGUUUCAUGAUCGAUUUUUACGGUAAACUAUAACCUGCAUUUUAUGCCUACUGCCAGGUGCACUUGUCCACGACCGCUUAUUCGCCCGAUCCCAGUCCUUGGGUCAUGGCUUAUUUCGCGGUUGUCCUGAAUACCUGCAGGUGCGUGCCUCUAUCCACAACCGCGGGGGCGGACGUUCCCGAUGGCAUAUGCAACGCUGCAAUGCGCACGGGUUUACAAUCGAGUCCUGGAAGCCAGCGUCGCCUUGUUUUUGGACCUCGGAUGGCAAUCAAGACGCCCGAGUCUUGUUGAAAAACUGCGCUGUCAUUACCUGAAACAUCAAACACGAACAAAUCACUAAACGUACGAUAUGGUACGAUAUAUGAAACGGUCGUAUGAUAUACUUUUGCGUUUAAACGCACAAGAAUACUUCACA